UUCAGGAGGGUGCUUGCAGGGUGGAGUCCUUUCAGCCAGGGGCCAACCACUGAAUAAGAGAAAUUUAGAUCAGGGUAGGAAAGAUUCCAGUACAGCUCACUUCACAAUACAGUGCUGCUGUUGUUCACCCAAGAGGUUAAACUGGAACUUGGAUCCAAUUUGAAUUUCAUUAAAAGAUUCAAUGAACAUGAAAAAGAUUUUUAGAACAAUACAUAAUUCUUCAUACAAUCCAUAAUUAGCUUGUAUCCAGGAAAUAUGGAAAUUCCCAGUGAAACCAGAUACAACGUAAAAUGAACAGGAUGCAUUUGCAUAUAACAAAGGUUUUGUAUUAAAAGCAAGGAAGCAUAAACGUAUAGAUCUAGAUCCCGGGUCUAAUCAGAGCAAAAGUGCUUAGAAAAUCCAGAAAUAAGAGCAUUUCUAUUCAAAAGGAAGCAACUAUUUUGAUGAUUUCAAGUUGAAGGAUCUGCAAGUGUACAGAAGGCCAGCAUGAGAAUUGAAAUUUAUUUUGAUUAUUUCAAAGAGCAUUCCACAAAAAGAACCACAGAAUCACAGAAUGGGUUAUGUAGGAAGGGACCACAGUAGUUCAUCUGGUCCAACCUCCCUGGUCAAGCAGCUUAUCCCAGACCAGCACAGGAUUGUGUCCAGACAGUUCUUGAAUAUAUUCAGUGAGGGAGACUCUCUGGACAACCUGUUCCAGUGGUGACAGUGGUCAAUCACCACCAGCAGAUAAGUUAUUCCUCAUGUUCAUGUGGAACUUCCUGUGCAUCAGUUUCUGCCUGUUGCCUGUUUUAUUGCUUGGCACCAUUGAGAAGAACCUGACUCCAUCCUCUUGUCACUAGUAAUACUUCAAGUUUGGAAAUAUGAAAUUCUGCUCUCAGGUUGGACAGAGUCUAUAUGAGGAGCACAAAAAUAAGGACAAAUCAAGCUGUUGGACAGGGGAAACACCUAUGGAGUAAUUUUGUGUCUAAGAGAAGAGCAGUACCUCCUACAAGAGCUCUACCAGGCAAGCUGCUCAGGCACAGCAAUAAGCUUACUGUUUGCCUCUCUGCACAGUUAUGGCUCUGUCAUGCAUCAAUAUGAUCACACAAUUUUUGAAGAUUAUUUUCUGAUUUGGUGCUUUGUUUCUGAGAAACAUGCAGUUCCUAAAGAUGUUUAUUGUGGUGUAUUGUGGGCAAUAUAGAUUUCACAGUUGGGUUCCUGGUCUAGUUUAGCCCCUGCUCAACACCCAGGUCAUGUGUGAUUGGAUCUGACUCGUGCCAGUAAGAAUGGAAUUGCUCUUGGAAUCCAGAAUGUGAUGUGAAGAUUUACUUAAAAUUCAAAACAUAGAUUGAUCAGACGUUCUCCAACAACACUUGUGUGAACAUUCCUGCCUUUACAAAAGACUACAGAGACUAUCCCAAGUAACAAAAAUGUCUUAAUUAUUUCCACCUUUAUUUUCACCAUAUAUUUAUGGAUUAGAUGAGAAAUAUUUGUUGACAUCAAUGCUAAAUUUUAAGUGAAAAAGGCAUAUAAAUACUGUGAAAAUAUCUGAGCAAUAAUCUGUUUUCCCUGCACUCACUGUAGAGACAGUUAGAUACUGAAGCACUCAAAUGUAAUGCUUUGACAAUUAAAAUUAUAUAGUUUUUCCCUCCUACACAAUUUUUUAAAGCUUUUAGGUGACAUUUUCUUCAAGAGUACAUGCUGUACCCUACAUUUAGGAAUGGAAAAUUUGUAAAAUUUCUAAAAGUGGGAAAAUGUGUAUUUUUAAGGUUAUUUUCAAAGUUUAAUAUUGGAAUUUAAAAUGCUAACCCUUCCUCCUUGAAGCAAGCCAGGUCUUAGGUCUUAAUCGAAGAAAAUCAGAAAUGUAGAUGAAACCCAGAAAGGAACCAGAUUUAAUAUUAUUAUUAUGUUAUAAGGAAAAAUCCCUUAUCUGUAAGGACAGUCAUUUGUCUUUUCCUUUUUCUCAAUACCUUUUCCAGAAUUAUCCAUGUGUAGUAAGAGUAGGGGUAAUACCUAGAAUAAUGCCAUUAGAAAAAGAAAAAUCAUCACCAAGCUACCAAAAAAUUAACAGUUAGCCUUAUAAGACCAAGAAAAAGUAAUACAAAAAAAGUAGAAUCUACAUCACUUCUGUAUCUCUAGAAAAAUUCUGGAAAUGUGUUUCAACUUAAUCAUCUACCAGUGGCAAGAUCAUUGCUAAAAUGAAAUUGUUGGCAGCAUCACAGAAAAGAUGAAACUGGGGUUAACACACCUGUGGUAUAAUUUCUUCUACUCUGUGCAACUCCACCUGCCAAGGAAGAGUAAAUGCACCAGCAGCAAAUCUCAGCCUGGAGAAUAGGAAGUCAUUUCAGUCAAGGAAUAUCCAAACUGCUGUAACUUUUAUCUUCAUUUGUUCAAAAAAUAUCCUCAGAAGAAGCAGGCAGGAUUUUUAGUUCACUGAACUUUCUGCUCCUCACCAUGAGUACACAAAAGUUCAGAAAAAAAACCCAGUUGUUCAGCUCUCAAGCUACCAGGCCCCAAGAUCUCCAAUUUCUCUAAAAAUCACAGCAACAAAGAAGUAAAGCAAAAUUUUGAUGCUGAAAAUUUCCACAUUAUGGGUGACUCUAUUUCUUAAUAAUUGAACAUGCAUGUUUGUUGUGCAGAAUGAAAGGUGAGAGCCAAAGACCAUUUUCUUUCCUACAAUGCAAAUUCUCAAAGAAAUAACAUAUAGGUUAAACAUAUUUAACUUUGGUAGGUUUAACCUAUAAUACAUUAUAGAUUAAACAUAUUUCUUUUUAGCUCUGUCCAGUCUUCUGGUUUAUAUUUUGCUGAACUCUCUUGGGUCAAAGAAACAGCACAAAAAUAUUCACAUUUUGUUUUCAUUUAGGGAGACAGGGAUUUCCAGGGCCCGUCCUAAGCCUGGAGAGAAGGAGCUUCCCAUGAUGUCUUGUCCUGGAAGGACACAGCAACAGGCCAGUCUGGAAAUGUUUGCAACAAAUAAUUUUAGACUCAAAUUGACAACCUGCCCAACCUAGUUCUUUCAGCAGAAUCAACUGUAUCCAAAUAAUUUCCUACAGUUGUUUAACCUCAUCUUUAAAACCUUGUCUAAUUUCUUUAAACUUCUUAUCUAGCCCAUACUUAAAAUUCUGAACACCACAAGUGCCUUUGGCCACCUUUCUGAGGGUUUAUUUGUUCUGACUGUUAAAAAUUUCUCCAUGUUAAACCCAAAUUUCCCUUGCUAGAAUUUAUGGCUAUUUCUUGUCUCCAGUGAAUAUGGAGAAUGCUUUCUUCUUUUCCUCUUCACCUAUUUUACAAUUUAUCUUUUAUGUCCUGAAAAAUAGAUUUCCCUUCAGAUUCUGUUCUUUAAGCUAAAAUACAUGUUCAAGAAAAUUAAAGGGAGAAUCCUGUAUUCCAAUCCCAUCAGGAAAAGAAAUUAAAGUCUCCAGAAAAGCUAUGGUGACAUCUGGUGAGCUUGAGCACUUUUUAUCUGGGAAAUUGUUAUGUCUGCCUCCUGGCUUUCCUCCUUUCGAAAAAUAUUUUAUUAUUGUAGCAAAAAAUUCUUUAGUUUCUUUAUCAGUGAAGAAGGGUUUUUUGGUUCUCAGAUUAAUUUGUUUUUUGUAUUCUGCAUUUUUAAUUAGCAGCUCUCUCCUUCAAAGCAUAUAUUUUAUCAGAUUAUGGACAUUAAUAGAGCACAGUAUCAAGUUUGCCAUGUCACAUUCUUUAGCCAUGAAAAUAAGUUAUUGCAUGACUUAUGGAGGACUAUACACUCUAAAAAUAGUCAAGAUGAAAAGACUUGUUAAGGAAAUUAUAUUAACCAAGAUACAUAGGAAAGAAAGCAUCUCAAUUAUAACUAGAUUUUAAAAGCAGUAUUACUGUUACCUUGUUUCAGCAAGAAAAUUAAUCUUUAAAAUAGAUCUCAUCUGAUGAAAGUCUCUUAAGGCUGUGACCUAUUCAGGUGACAGUUUAAUCUAUAAAGGUUGCAUUUAAGUUUAAAUAAACCAUUUUUCUUGCCACUAUAAUAGACUAAGAGCUCAUGGUCCGUGAAUUGUAAAGAGAAGUAACUUACUGGAGAAUGGAUGGUUAUUUCUUCAGUUGCAUUAACUCUACUUGCAUGAAUUUGUGCCAGCUCAAAUUUCAGUAUAGAGUGUUCAGGACAUAGCUCAUUUCCUAGCACCUUGACUUCAUGUUUCAUGUCACUCUUGUUCAUACAACCCUCAUCCAAUGACCCUUUGCAUUCUCCCAGCUAGCAGGUGAGCUGUGCUUGUUCUGGGAGCUGCAUAGGCAGAACUGCCUUUGGAGGACAUUACUGACACUGCAGGUUUUGCAGCCUACCCAUUAAUAACAUUUAGAUUCAAUGCCAGCAGGUAAGAGAAGAAAAAAGUUGUUGUUUCUGGAUGCUUUGGGGGCUGGAAGGGAGGGACACUCUGCAAAUGAUCUGGGGUUAAGCCAUGGUUUCUGCACCCAGUGCUGGAGUUAGAGGGAUUAUCUAUGCCACUGCUUUCUGCCCCUCACCAGCAAUGAUUCCUGGGUAUUUAAACUGUUAUCCUGAAAGACUCUAAAAUCCUUCUUUCAGGUUAUUGCUCUUGACAUUUGAAGUUAAUUUCUUGCCUUUUCCCUUGUACUUCUCUGCAGCCAGCUUAUUUUGCCUUCGAUCUAUCAUCUUCCCCUCAGUGUUUCAUUUAAUUUUUUACCAGGUCAAAGCAGCUGAUUACAACCUUUUUAAGAUAGCUAAAACCAGAAGGAAUAAUUAAAUUAGCCCACAUUACCAGAUUGCUAACCAGAAACAAUGCUGUCACCUGGCAACUUUCCAAACAGAACUAGAUGAAUGGGACAGAUCAGGGUCUCUACUUGACACGAUUCAAGGCCAGCCUGGGGACACGACAGAACAGGAGUUAGGAAUGCCUUGCACUGAUCCCAAAGGCAAAUACCCACAGAGCCAGUGUAACUCUCAUGGCUGGCACCUUGAAGGAGGUGUCUGUGAAAGCACAAAGCUCCUGGCCACUCAUGUGCAGAGAGUUCUGGUUUCAGGAGACACUGUUUACACUCUUGAGGGUUAUUGUGAGUGAGGUGAUCCCUGCUUUAGAAGCAGCACUACAGACCUCACUGUAAGUUUGAAACUCCAAUGAUGUCAGGUGCCAGGAACAGACAAGGGACCAUCAAUCAGCAAUUUGCCUUGUGAUCUUGUGUCUUCACAUGAAUUUUAACUAGUUAAUAGCUAAAUUGAGAGAAAAAGGAAAAUGUUUUCUAGAAUGUGUAUUUCAGGGGAUCAGCCCUGUUUCUGUUUGGAGGAUGUAUUUUGAAACCUCAGAGGAGUGUUUACCUGGAAGGCCCAGUGGUAGACUCUAGGAACAGGGCAGGGCUGUGUUGAGUACUGUGCCAUCAGGGAAGCCCUAGGUGGCACAGCUAACUCUAACAAAGAAAAUUCAAUCCCUCGUGUUGCAGGCAAUAACAUCACAUUCCACUUCCCAGCAGAGUCAUCUCAAAAAUAGUCCCAUGUUAAAUGCUUGUGAUAUCAAUGAUUUUCCUGUACUAACACUCAACUGUGUCACUACAGAUAUGAGGUGCAUUAUGCACCAAUAGACUGUGCAAAUAUUUAGAUAGGAUUUGGAAUAAUAAAAUAAAUAAAAUCCACUGCUAAAUCAUAAAUCUUCUGUUUUAUCAUCUUUUAUAUUAAUGUGAAUUAUCUGCAAUAACAAUACCAUGCCAAUCAUCUUU